CUAGACACAAGCCAAGGGGAGAUGACUCUGUGAGGUGGAGAGUGGUGUAGAAAAUUUUUCUGGAUUAAUGAAAAAUCUUUGGUUCUCUUGGGUGGAUGUAGGCAUUUGUGCCGAACCACAUUAAAUUCCUUGUGUUGUGUGUGAUUGUUUGUUUGGUUUCUUCCUCGUGGUUGCGCAUUCGUCCUCAACAACUUAGUUUCUAAUGAACUUAUUAC